ACAUCAAAGGAAAGUAGCAUUUAGUAGACCACAAGGCUGAAAUAUGGAAAUAGACUACAUCUUGUUGCUCAUUGUUGUCUUCUCUGUCUGCCUGUCCCUUAUCAAAACAAAUAUAAAUGUGUCAUGUCCAGUGGUGGUUCUGGGGGGGGGUCAUUGCCACGCAGCACAGGCCUUGUCCCCCUGUCAUCCCCCGAGGUUGCCACUCUCCUCACCCCACCCCCGUCAACCUAAAUGAUCGUUGCUGUCUUUUAGUACUUUUUUCCUUUUCCACCACCCUCUACCAAGUCACACAUUAUCAGGUGUUGUUGGUGCUUUUGGAUAUCUCUUUUUCUCUGCUUAUCCCGUCAAACCUCAUACUAGCAGGUGUUGAUGUUGCCUUUUAACCUUAUGCUCGGUGGCAGUAAUAACAGAUCAUCAGAUUGAACAUGACCUUUCCUUCAGUAACGUUGCUUACCUUGCAGGCUGUUGAGCAGAGAGAAGAUGUAGAGUAGGACCAACCGGGCCGGCCCCCAGGUAAAAAAUCCGGUGGUCCAGGUGAGUCCGAGUAAAAAAGUCAGAGUGGCGACCCUCUUCAAGUAUUGCAUCAGUCCCCCGCGGGUCCCAGAGGGACUGUUGGCCCGCAUGUGGUGAAGUUGAAUCAGAACCACCACAAAAACCUGACAGAAGCGAUAUUAAAGAGGAACACCAGCAAGGCGUAGGCAACCACAGAUACGUAGAACGUCACGUCAUCCUGCAACCAGCAGCUGGAGACAUAAACGGGAAUAAACCUGGUACUCACCCCACCCCAAUGCACAAAACUUGAGUGAAGGACGCCAGGAGGAAGUAGUGGAGUGUGGCGGCGGCGGCCACGCAGAGGCCCUCCACGCCCCACGACGAGAGCCACGAGUCAAGCAGCAACGCCAAGUUGAGGCCCAGCAGGGCCACAGAGAGGUGGAUGAGGAUCUGCGACGGGUAGUCUCGACGCAGCUUCCUGAAGGAAAGUGGCUUGUUUGGCUGUAGUACUAGUCUGGCUCCAACUACCCAAGAUAAAGUGGCCCCCACUGAAUGCUGCCCAUAUCAGAAACCGGCCCGGGUCUCCUGUGAUCAGCUGGCGGGCAGUCAAGAGUACACAAAAUGAG